GAGCAUGUGACUGACACACCCCUGGAUGUGUGAGAAGGUUUGUUAGUUAUCCCUUUCCUUCUCAGUUAGUUAAUAUUACUUCUAAGCACCUUACUUUUCUCUUAUGCACGUUUAGAUUGAUGGGUUUUGUUGUUUUAGUUUGGGCUCUAGUUUGCGGUAGAUAGUUUUGGUAAGGUAGCCUUGUUUUGGUGGUUGCUGGUCCAGAGACCCUUUGCAGGCAUGUGGGCACUGAGGCUUCAUCACAGGGCCUGAUACAUGUUGGCAUGCAUGCCAAGAUCAAGCUCAACAGCAUUUCCUUUGUCAGGCCUUUUCACCCCCGGUGAUGCAUCCUGAGACUGAGUGUACCCAUCUUCAUCUUCUUGAAAAGAGUCUCACCACCUUCUAUAGAGGCAUUAUAGAGAGCAUAUGGACCAUCUCUGUCGGGUCGGGGGCCAGCAGCGCCUCUCACCGGAAGUCCCUGAAGAGAGUGGUGAGGACAGCGGAGAAGAUCAUUGGGACUGCACUCCCUCCUAAAAGAUGCUACCUGACCAGUGUCCAUAACAUCAGCAGAGACCCCUCAAACCCCCACCAUGGACUGUUCUCACUGCUGCCCUCCAGAUAUAGGUUUCGCAGCCUUCGAAGCAGAACAGCCAGACUAAGAAACAGCUUCUUUCCACAAGCUAUAAAACUCUUGAAUUCAAAAUAACCUCACCCUCACUCAGUCUGCUCUAUUAGGUUGUUCCAUACUAGAAGCCCUGACAAUACUGUGAAAUAUGAAAUACAAUCAUGCAAUAUAUGUUGAUAAAUACUUUCUCUUUUAUAUUUUUGCCAUAUUUUAUUUAUAAUGUACAUUGCUGCUGUUUUUAUCUUUGCACUAUCUGAAGCCUAAGCAACUAAAUUUCGUUCUGAAUGUGCACUGUUUGGUGUAAAUCUGAAUGACAAAGUCUUAGUCUUCUGAUGGCUCCUUCCAGCAGGAUAAAGCAUCAUGUCACAAAGCUCAAA